AGCUCCAAUAGCGUAUAUUAAAGUUGUUGCAGUUAAAAAGCUCGUAGUUGGAUCUCGGGUGCAGGCCCGCGGUGCGCCUCGCGGCGUCCUACUGCUCGUCCUGACCCAGCCGCCGGUCCUCCCCCGGUGCUCUUGACUGAGUGUCUCGGGUGGCCGGAACGUUUACUUUGAAAAAAUUAGAGUGUUCAAAGCAGGCAAUUCGCCUGAAUAAUGGUGCAUGGAAUAAUGGAAUAGGACCUCGGUUCUAUUUUGUUGGUUUUCGGAGCUCGAGGUAAUGAUUGAGAGGGACGGACGGGGGCAUUCGUAUUACGGUGUUAGAGGUGAAAUUCUUGGAUCGCCGUAAGACGAACGGCUGCGAAAGCGUUUGCCAAGAACGUUUUCA
rnacentral:rRNA from 1 species